GCUGAGGUAGCCAAGUGGUUACGGCGCAGGUUUGCUAAACCUGUGGGCGAAAGCCCUCGAGGGUUCAAAUCCCUCUCCCAGCG
rnacentral:tRNA from 1 species